rnacentral:rRNA from 1 species
UACGUAGGUGGCAAGCGUUGUUCGGAAUUAUUGGGCGUAAAGGGCGCGUAGGCGGUUUGUUAAGUCAGCUGUGAAAGCCCGGGGCUCAACCCCUGAGGGUCAGCUGAUACUGGCAGACUAGAGUACAGAAGAGGUAACUGGAAUUCCCGGUGUAGCGGUGAAAUGCGUAGAUAUCGGGAGGAAUACCUAUGGCGAAAGCAAGUUUCUGGGCCGUUACUGACGCUGAGCUGCGAAAGCUAGGGGAGCAAACAGG